GGAGAGGUGGCCGAGUUGGCUUAAGGCAACGGUUUGCUAAACCGUCGUAGGGCCAUAAGCUCUACCGGGGGUUCGAAUCCCCCCUUCUCCGCCC
rnacentral:tRNA from 1 species